AGCGAACGCUGGCGGCAGGCCUAACACAUGCAAGUCGAACGGAUCCUUCGGGAUUAGUGGCGGACGGGUGAGUAACACGUGGGAACGUGCCCUUUGGUUCGGAACAACUCAGGGAAACUUGAGCUAAUCCCGGAUGUGCUCUUCGGGGGAAAGAUUUAUCGCCAUUGGAGCGGCCCGCGUCUGAUUAGCUAGUUGGUGAGGUAAAGGCUCACCAAGGCGACGAUCAGUAGCUGGUCUGAGAGGAUGAUCAGCCACAUUGGGACUGAGACACGGCCCAAACUCCUACGGGAGGCAGCAGUGGGGAGUCUUGCGCAAUGGGCGAAAGCCUGACGCAGCCAUGCCGCGUGAAUGAUGAAGGUCUUAGGAUUGUAAAAUUCUUUCACCGGGGACGAUAAUGACGGUACCCGGAGAAGAAGCCCCGGCUAACUUCGUGCCAGCCGCCGCAGUAA
rnacentral:rRNA from 1 species